GGUCGCUUAGCUCAGUUGGUUAGAGCGUCGUACUAAUAUUAUAAGCCCUUAUAACAUUGGUGAUGCGAAGGUCAUGAGUUCGACCCUCAUAGUGACCA
rnacentral:tRNA from 1 species